GAUGAACGCUGGCGGCGUGCCUAAUACAUGCAAGUCGAGCGAAUGGAUUAAGAGCUUGCUCUUAUGAAGUUAGCGGCGGACGGGUGAGUAACACGUGGGUAACCUGCCCAUAAGACUGGGAUAACUCCGGGAAACCGGGGCUAAUCCCGGAUAACAUUUUGAACCGCAUGGUGCGAAAUUGAAUGGCGAAUUCGGCUGUCACCUCUGGAUGGACCCGGGUCGCAUUAGCUAGUUGGUGAGGUAACGGCGCACCAAGGCAACGAUGCGUAGCCGACCUUAGAGGGUGAUCGGCCACACUGGGACUGAGAGACGGCCCAGACUCCUACGGGAGGCAGCAGUAGGGAAUCUUCCGCAAUGGACGAAAGUCUGACGGAGCAACGCCGCGUGAGUGAUGAAGGCUUUCGGGUCGUAAAACUCUGAUGUUAGGGAAGAACAAGUGCUAGUUGAAUAAGCUGACACCUUGACGGUACCUAACCAGAAAGCCACGGCUAACUACGUGCCAGCAGCCGCGGUAA
rnacentral:rRNA from 1 species